AAAUUUUACUACGCUGUACGUUUUUAAAAUUGUUUGCAAAAUUUUUUACAUAUUUUCAAAUGAUGAUGAUGAUGGCGGAACUCUCUUAACUGUAUUAUAUGUAAUCUUUCGCUCUCAAGGCGAGACACUAAGUUUGCACAGACUUCAAAGACAUCGUCAUUUGUAAGUUUAUUGUUGGUUAGGCGUUCUUAACCCCGUUUAGUGUUUCUUUUACCCAUUACAAAUGAAUUGACAUGGAUGUCAUACGUGUCUAUGUCUACAAUAAGUUUGGAAGUUUGAAACCUAAAAAAAUAAGAUCAUCAUUAAUUUUCUUGCGUUUACAAGGCUAACAAUAGAGCGGAUUACGUUUAAAUAUGAACAAAACGUGCUAUCUUUUUUGCCUGAAAGCUCUGUUAAUUGGUACUCGUACUUAGCUAUACGCAUAGAAAUGUUAAAUGGUUUUAAUCAGCGUAAAAUUCCGAGCCAAUUUAGUAAUGUCGUCUUGGUGACUCUCUUCCCUUCCUCGCUCUGUCUGCGAAAUCGAAGGAGAAAAUUUUGGAAACUUGACAGACACCGGUGUUAAUUUGUUAGCUACAGGCUUAGUUUGAAGAUAAGUGUGAUCCGCCUACACUCACAUCCACAAUAGAUUCGAACAAGUAUUAAUAGAAAUUUUGUAGACCAACGAUAUUAUUAUUAAUAUUGUUUGUUUGUUAACUAAGAUUAAAGGGAGCAUGUAAGCAAUUAUAGACGCCCACACAAUCCUAGCUUUACAGAAAAUCUUAAGUACACUGCAUAUAACAUUGUAAAGUAGGUAAUCAUCGAACAAUUUGAGAUUGAAAUCCCACCUCCAUUGCACACUGGUCCAGUUCAUACUAUAUAUCAGCAGCAAUAUCCUGACACUGGAAUUACAAACCCAUUUAUAACAACAAUGCAUUAUUACAAGUGUAGAUGGUUUUAAAUUUGAUAGUGAAUCUGCGCAUAUUAACAACGGGCUUAAUACUCGUCGUCAAAAAAAGUGUUAAUAAAAAAAGCACCUGGAAUAUGCAUGGUAUCUGUGGUCGCAUAAUAUAAGUUUCAUUAUUCAUUUAAAUUUAAUGGACGGAAGUUUAUCACACAAGCAGUAUUGCGGAGUAUGUGUAUCAAGCAAAUGUAAUGAUAUCCUGUACCACGCUUGCGUUUACCAUAAGAAUGCCUCGGAGACAGUUAUUCACCGCCACUUAGAGCUUAUUUUUCCAGACAUAGUCAAGAUUUCCGUAUAUGUAAUCAAGCGCAUUUUGGCUUCGACCGUAACAAAGGCCGAGAAAAAAAAUAGCUAUAAAAUGAACAUGAGCCUCCCCCAUUUUGGGGUGGCUUUAUCCCUUUACUAAAACGGUAAAUUCCUACCUCGACUCAAGAGGAUAUGUAUACGCUUUAUCAUAUAUCUUUGUUUGUUUGUCUUUGCAGGACGCUUUAUCACGAAGAGCAAACAUAUUCUAAAAUGAUUUCUCACCUUGAUGAGGCUAAAUCUGAAGACCAAAUAAAUUAUCCCGUGAAUCGACAAAUGGAAUAGGCUCUGAAUUCUCUUGUGCAAGGCUCAAAAAGUUAGCGUAAUCGAGCUCGUUCGCAAAUACUAGAAAAUUAUACAUAUAUGAUUAAUGCACAGUGUGUGAAGAUGUGUUUCAAUUCUCUUCAUCUAUAUUAUUAAUGAUUAACCAUUCAAAUAAAUUAAAUUAAAACAUAUCCGCCUGAGUGGCCG